UACCUUUGGCACAAAAGUAGUAUGUACGGAUCUAAACAUCUGAUUGCUAGUGUCUUGAGAGAGAAAAAAAUCUUCAAUUUUAUAAUCUUCUAAUCCAUUCAUUUCUAUAAACAACUCAUUUGCAGGUCUGACGGAGACACAUGGAAGAGGGAAGUGUGCUUCCUUGUGUCCCAUUCCGGAUCCAAGGCAGACUUUGUCAUCUUUGUGACUCACCUAAAUUUGGUCCAGAUAUCUAACCACAAGCAGGAAGCAAUUCAGGGAUCUACACAUAAGAUCCAAUCCCUGGGAGGAACUUCAUCCCCGACUCUGCCUCAGUACAUAGAUCACCCCUCAUCUGUCUCAAUGUUGACAGGACACUGUUCUAGUGACUACAGCAGCUAUAGGAAAAGAAAAGCCCAUGAGGUUCUUCAGAUGACGAAGACCUGAAAUACUUGGGGAAUAGGGCUGGAGAGUCUAGAAUCGAGAGCCCACACCCGGAAAUGAGCUAUCAAUGCUGCAGAAACCAGAGAAGGCAGAGGGCUAUGGGUGUCAGUGUUCUAGGUCAGAAUCAUAGAAGGACAGAUCCCAUAGUCAUGCACUGAAGAGGGAGAAGCCUGGAGUAUCUAAGGCAAAGCUCAGAGAGAAGCCCACUCUUGUAUGAACGAGGAGAGUGUGACCAGCCUCAAGGCAGUGGGAAGGCAGGACCAAGGUGGAAGAGCACUGAUGUUCUAGUACGGGAGGGCCUUGAUGACUAAACCAAAGGCACUAAGACUGAUGCCAUCAGACACACAGUGCUGGCAACUGUUGCAUCAACAAAUGAGAGAUCCAUCAGCCCCGAGAGCUAGGUGUUCCUUUUAUUGGCAGGCUGCAGCCUUCACAUGUAUGUCGUGGGGAAGGGGCUGGAGGCUGACAAAACAGCUAUGAGGUUGCCGUAGUAAUUAAGGUGCAAGAUGCAGGGUUUUCAACCAGAGCGCUGCAAUGAGAACAACAGAAGAAGCAAGAGCAAUUUCAAAGGGAGAACUGAUAGCACUUGGUGAGCAUUUAAAGACAAGGAAUUGAAGAAAGACGAGAAGAAUCCAAAUCAAUGCCUAGACUUUUGGAAUAGAGUGGUACAAUUUACCAGAUGGUUCCAUUUAACCUCAUGAAGCAUGGCAGCACCAUCUCCUUUCCUUUGCCAUAAAAGCAUCAUGCUUGAUCCCUGCCUGUGUUUCCCCAGCGCCGUACGGGUAUUUCCAAGACUCUAAGAAAAACUCUGCUGACUCCUGGCUUAGAAGAAGUGGCACACAAUGGAGGAAUAGUGCUUUUGAUUCUUUGGAUUGAAUCCAGGAUAUCUUCCAGGCUGAGUUCUACUGUGUUUGCAUCUUCUAAAGACAGGAUUCGCUGGCCUUGUGGAGCAGGCAGGCGGAUCAUUCCGCUUAUAAGCAUUUGGAUUUAAAAAUGAAGAUGCACUCUCUUAUUUCAGAGGCCCCAUUAAUUUUGAGAUGCUCAGCAUGGGCAUGAUUGUAAUCCAGUUGCACACUGAGCUCAGAAGAUUGCGCCACUGAAAUAUAGUAAAAAUGUCCGUACUUCUGGUCCUUUGUGGUCAUGGGUAAGUCAUUUGACCUUUCUGUGACUUAGUGCCAUCAUCUAUAAAUUGGUUAUACCAGGCUUUCAAGUAUCUUUCAUUUCUUUUAAGGAUCAGAGCUAAUGUAUCUGUGAAUA